GACCCCAUCGUCUAGAGGUCAGGACACUAGGUUUUCAUCCUAGUAACACGGGUUCGAUUCCCGUUGGGGUCGCCA
rnacentral:tRNA from 1 species